ACGAACGCUGGCGGCGUGCUUAACACAUGCAAGUCGAACGGAAAGGCCCCUUUGGGGGUACUCGAGUGGCGAACGGGUGAGUAACACGUGAGUAACCUGCCCUUGACUUCGGGAUAACUUCAGGAAACUGGGGCUAAUACCGGAUAGGAAUCCUUGCUGCAUGGUGGGGGUUGGAAAGCUUCGGCGGUUUUGGAUGGACUCGCGGCUUAUCAGCUUGUUGGUGGGGUAGUGGCUUACCAAGGCUUUGACGGGUAGCCGGCCUGAGAGGGCGACCGGCCACAUUGGGACUGAGAUACGGCCCAGACUCCUACGGGAGGCAGCAGUGGGGAAUAUUGCACAAUGGGCGGAAGCCUGAUGCAGCAACGCCGCGUGCGGGAUGACGGCCUUCGGGUUGUAAACCGCUUUCAGCAGGGGCGAAGCUUGUGGUGACGGUACCUGCAGAAGGAGCACCGGCUAACUACGUG
rnacentral:rRNA from 1 species